GGGCCCGUUGCCUAGCCAGGAAACAUACACAUUCUAUGUGUUCUUUGGUAUAUAGGGCGCCAGCCUUCUAAGUUGGAGACCGUGUGUUCGAAUCACACCGGGCCCGCCA
rnacentral:tRNA from 1 species